rnacentral:rRNA from 1 species
CUUGAUAACAUAAGAGGUCCAGCCUGCCCAGUGACUCAAUUCAACGGCCGCGGUAUCCUAACCGUGCAAAGGUAGCGUAAUCACUUGUCUUCUAAAUAAAGACUAGUAUGAAAGGCACCACGAGAACUAAACUGUCUCCUUUUUCUAAUCAGUGAACCUAAUCUCCCUGUGAAAAAGCAGGGAUUUAAUAAUAAGACGAGAAGACCCUAUGGAGCUUUAAACACAUAACACUGCCCUUCUACACCACAAUGUUCCAUGCACAAUGAUUAAGAGUUUUUAGUUGGGGUGACUACGGAGUAAACCCACCCUCCGCGAUGAAUCUUAAACAAGCGACAGCUUUAUACAUCAGCAAACUGACACCAUUGACCCAAUUUAUUGAUCAACGAAC